rnacentral:rRNA from 1 species
GUCGAGGGGCAGCAUGGUCUUAGCUUGCUAAGGCCGAUGGCGACCGGCGCCCGUAUGAGUAACACGUAUCCAACCUGCCGUCUACUCUUGGAUAGCCUUCUGAAAGGAAGAUUAAUACAAGAUGGCAUCAUGAGUCCGCAUGUUCACAUGAUUAAAGGUAUUCCGGUAGACGAUGGGGAUGCGUUCCAUUAGAUAGUAGGCGGGGUAACGGCCCACCUAGUCUUCGAUGGAUAGGGGUUCUGAGAGGAAGGUCCCCCACAUUGGAACUGAGACACGGUCCAAACUCCUACGGGAGGCAGCAGUGAGGAAUAUUGGUCAAUGGGCGAGAGCCUGAACCAGCCAAGUAGCGUGAAGGAUGACUGCCCUAUGGGUUGUAAACUUCUUUUAUAAAGGAAUAAAGUCGGGUAUGGAUACCCGUUUGCAUGUACUUUAUGAAUAAGGAUCGGCUAACUCCGUGCCAGCAGCCGCGGUAAUACGGAGGAUCCGAGCGUUAUCCGGAUUUAUUGGGUUUAAAGGGAGCGUAGAUGGAUGUUUAAGUCAGUUGUGAAAGUUUGCGGCUCAACCGUAAAAUUGCAGUUGAUACUGGAUAUCUUGAGUGCAGUUGAGGCAGGCGGAAUUCGUGGUGUAGCGGUGAAAUGCUUAGAUAUCACGAGGAACUCCGAUUGCGAAGGCAGCCUGCUAAGCUGCAACUGACAUUGAGGCUCGAAGGUGUGGGUAUCAAACAGGAUUAGAUACCCUGGUAGUCCACAC